rnacentral:snRNA from 1 species
AUAUCUUUCUUGUCUUUUGACUAAGAUAAAGUGCAUUAUCUACAGUUUAAUAUGUGGUAUGUGGAUCAAAUAUCCACAUUAAUUUUAAAUUUAUUUUUUGUGGGGAGGGUCCAUCACACUGGUUUGUCAUUGGGCCCUCGCGUGUCGUAGAACUGUUGCACUAUACCGUCAAAUAUGAU